AUUGAACGCUGGCGGCAGGCCUAACACAUGCAAGUCGAGCGGAUGACGGGAGCUUGCUCCUUGAUUCAGCGGCGGACGGGUGAGUAAUGCCUAGGAAUCUGCCUGGUAGUGGGGGACAACGCUUCGAAAGGAACGCUAAUACCGCAUACGUCCUACGGGAGAAAGCAGGGGACCUUCGGGCCUUGCGCUAUCAAAUGAGCCUAGGUCGGAUUAGCUUGUUGGUGAGGUAAUGGCUCACCAAGGCGACGAUCCGUAACUGGUCUGAGAGGAUGAGCAGUCACACUGGAACUGAGACACGGUCCAGACUCCUACGGGAGGCAGCAGUGGGGAAUAUUGGACAAUGGGCGAAAGCCUGAUCCAGCCAUGCCGCGUGUGUGAAGAAGGUCUUCGGAUUGUAAAGCACUUUAAGUUGGGAGGAAGGGUUGUAGAUUAAUACUCUGCAAUUUUGACGUUACCGACAGAAUAAGCACCGGCUAACUCUGUGCCAGCCGCCGCGGUAA
rnacentral:rRNA from 1 species